rnacentral:sRNA from 1 species
AAUAGUUUGUUUGUUGUCCACAAUAGAUAAAACUAGAUUUUAACCCGCGGUAUACCGCGAGACGAUUUAUUUUUAAAAAAUAAUAUAUAUUAAAACUUGCAAAUUUUAUUUUUAUAAAA